rnacentral:rRNA from 1 species
UAGGGAAUCUUCGGCAAUGGACGAAAGUCUGACCGAGCAACGCCGCGUGAGUGAAGAAGGUUUUCGGAUCGUAAAACUCUGUUGGUAGAGAAGAACGUUGGUGAGGGUGGAAGGCUCAUCAAGUGACGGUAACUACCCAGAAAGGGACGGCUAACUACGUGCCAG